GAUGAACGCUGGCGGCGUGCCUAACACAUGCGAGUCGAACGGAGAUUACGGACGGAAGUUUUCGGAUGGAAGCCUGUAAUUCUUAGUGGCGGACGGGUGAGUAACGCGUGGGCAACCUGCCCUAUACAGGGGGAUAGCAGCUGGAAACGGCUGGUAAGACCGCAUAAGUCGGUUAAAUCGCAUGAUUUGAUCGGGAAAUGAGCAAUCAGGUAUAGGAUGGGCCCGCGUCCGAUUAGCCAGUUGGCAGGGUAAAAGCCUACCAAAGCGACGAUCGGUAGCCGGACUGAGAGGUCGGACGGCCACAUUGGGACUGAGACACGGCCCAAACUCCUACGGGAGGCAGCAGUGGGGGAUAUUGCACAAUGGAGGAAACUCUGAUGCAGCGACGCCGCGUGAGUGAAGAAGUAUUUCGGUAUGUAAAGCUCUAUCAGCAGGGAAGAUGAUGACGGUACCUGACUAAGAAGCCCCGGCUAACUACGUA
rnacentral:rRNA from 1 species